rnacentral:lncRNA from 1 species
AGGGGCUCCUAGAGUUUUUCGUACUCCUCACCCGGGUUUGGGUGAGGCUUGACAGGGCUAUCCAUAGAUGAUCUGUGUUUUGGACUGUGUCUCCCUUAUGGUAGUUAAUUAUGAUAGUUACUGUAUGAUAUUAUUGCAUGCUAUUUUAUUUAUGGUUCUUAUGUUUAGAUAAUUGUUUACGCUAUUUCUACUGGAGUUACUAAUGUUCUUUUGUUUGUUUUGUUUAUCCUUCC